rnacentral:SRP_RNA from 5 species
GCCGAUCCCUCACGCGACGGUAUCACCUGAACCUCCCCAGGGCCGGAAGGCAGCAAGGAUAGGGUAGCUCUGCCGGGUGCGUGGGGGAUCCUUUAC